AGAGUUUGAUCCUGGCUCAGACGAACGCUGGCGGCGUGCUUAACACAUGCAAGUCGAACGAUGAAGCCCUUCGGGGUGGAUUAGUGGCGAACGGGUGAGUAACACGUGGGCAAUCUGCCCUGCACUCUGGGACAAGCCCUGGAAACGGGGUCUAAUACCGGAUAACACCCCCUCUCGCAUGGGAGGGGGUUGAAAGCUCCGGCGGUGCAGGAUGAGCCCGCGGCCUAUCAGCUUGUUGGUGAGGUAGAAGCUCACCAAGGCGACGACGGGUAGCCGGCCUGAGAGGGCGACCGGCCACACUGGGACUGAGACACGGCCCAGACUCCUACGGGAGGCAGCAGUGGGGAAUAUUGCACAAUGGGCGAAAGCCUGAUGCAGCGACGCCGCGUGAGGGAUGACGGCCUUCGGGUUGUAAACCUCUUUCAGCAGGGAAGAAGCGAAAGUGACGGUACCUGCAGAAGAAGCGCCGGCUAACUACGUGCCAGCAGCCGCGGUAAUACGUAGGGCGCAAGCGUUGUCCGGAAUUAUUGGGCGUAAAGAGCUCGUAGGCGGCUUGUCACGUCGGUUGUGAAAGCCCGGGGCUUAACCCCGGGUCUGCAGUCGAUACGGGCAGGCUAGAGUGUGGUAGGGGAGAUCGGAAUUCCUGGUGUAGCGGUGAAAUGCGCAGAUAUCAGGAGGAACACCGGUGGCGAAGGCGGAUCUCUGGGCCAUUACUGACGCUGAGGAGCGAAAGCGUGGGGAGCGAACAGGAUUAGAUACCCUGGUAGUCCACGCCGUAAACGGUGGGAACUAGGUGUUGGCGACAUUCCACGUCGUCGGUGCCGCAGCUAACGCAUUAAGUCCCCGCCUGGGGAGUACGGCCGCAAGGCUAAAACUCAAAGGAAUUGACGG
rnacentral:rRNA from 1 species